rnacentral:tRNA from 1 species
GGUCAGGUAGCCUAGUGGUUAAGGCAGCCCAUGUGUGUUGGCUCCAGAUUGAUUGGAUCUGGUUGCUGAUUCAAAUCCAGCCCCGACCA